GCUGAAAUAGCUCAGUUGGUAGAGCGGUAGACAAAUGAUCUAAAGGUCUCUGGUUCAAUACCUGGUUUCAGCA